UCUGGCAAUAACUACAUUACCUUGCUCAAAUAUGAGUCAACAAUAAAAUGAUUACAUAACAAAUAGUGUAAAUUGAUAGCCAUUCAUACUUAAUGAAGGCAAAGAGAAACUUACACGAAAAUUACUCAAAAUAUAAAUUAAGACUAUAAUAAUAAUAAUUACUAUAAAAGUCAAACCAGUGGUACCUUUUUUCUUCUUCUUGUAACACACCCGGUUCGACCCGAAUUAGAAAUUUUGCAUAUUAUUUCAUUUCUUUUUUUUUUCUCAAUCAGCAAUUGCCCAAGUCAUAUCAUUCUCAAAGAUCCAAUGACAAACUUCUAUUUUCCCGGGUCCCGACCCGAGUGCGACAAACGCUCCGUGACUCGGUCCCCAUGAAGAUGUAUCCACGUGGCAAAUCGCGACACCAUGAUUGAUCUUAACCUUUGAAUUCGGGUCCAAAAUAUCCGCUUCGUAGACCCGGACUUUAGGAACCGAAUGACAGUAAUACAGUAAGUAAGGGUACAGCGUUUGAUGACAUGAUACUGAUUUAGUAACUUUUCCACCGUUGAUUCCUUUGACUGAUCCAAUCAUGAUAUUCCCAUUUGAUCCUUUUGUAUCCUCAGUCGUUCGAACGACGACGUUUCGACCCAACACUGAUGUUGCGAAAUCAAUCAUAUCUUCAGCUGAAUUAACACAUCGUUUCGUCUCACCGGCGCUCGGUGCUCUUUCACACUCACUCAAUGCAUCGCCGAUCAUCUUCUCCACCUGAGACUCAUCACCGGCGUGGAAGAUUUUCUUCAGCUCAGCAAUUUUUGAAGUAGAAAAUGGUAAUUUGGAAGCAAUCACCCGGGGCAAAAAGGACCUUUUAGGCAUCUUAUCCUUUAUAUCUGGCAUAGGCAUGAUUGUACCACUCUUCAACAUCUUCUCCCGGAAAAACUUUCCGGGCUCAACCCACCGGUUAUUCACCUUUUUACCACCGUUGACCUCCAUCAACGAUGCUAAAACUUGGGAAGUUUUGUUGUGGUAAUUGGAAAAUGUAGCAGUAUCUUUGACAUAAUCUUUGAAAGUGUUGUUAACUCCGUAAGUUUUGAAAUUGAUAUGUGGGUCAUUACCCCCUUUGCCGUAAGUAGUGAAUACAUCAGUACCUUCAUUGAAUGAUUGACCAUAGUUGGUGAAAUUCGCUUCACCGCCAUUUGCAUCCUUAACAUAGGUAGUGAAUGUGUCAUCUCCAACAUUCGAUUGAUCUCUGUAACUAUUAAAAGUUUCAGAUGGACCAUUACCUCCAGCACCAUAGUUGGUGAAAUGAUUUUCAGGAACAUUGCCGUUGAAACCAUAAGAUGUGAAUUUUUGGUCUCCCCCAUUUGCUGUCUGACCAUAAUUUGUAAAUGUUGAGCCGAUAACAUUUGUGUCAUUUCCAUAGCUGACGAAUUCACCAUUAGCACCAUUCCCAUUUUUGCCGUAACUUUUGAAAUACUGGUCACCAGCAUUGGCUUCUUGUGAGUAUAUUGUGAAUUUCUGUACACCUCCUGUUCCUUGAUCGGAAUAGGAAGUGAAAUGCAGAUUGGGGUCAUUGGCAUUCGCCGCGUAAUUUGUGAAUUUGCCUGAACCUCCAGCAGUACUUGUGCUAUAGGAAUUGAAACUUUGGUCAAUAACAUUGCCAUCAGAGGCGUAAUUGUCAAAUUUAUUGUCACGGGGAGAACCUCUACCAUAUCGCCUGAAAGAAUUUACAGGGAUGUUUUCUCCUUCAGAGUAGUUCUUGAAAGUGUUAACUCCAAUUCCAGGUUCAUUGGUUCCAUAAUUGGUAAAGUUUUUGUCACUGUAAGUGGCAAAAUGGAUAUCUCCACUGUGUUUUUCAAGACUUGGUGACAGAUCUGGUGCACACAUGAGAUUUGCUGAAGAGCAAAAGGUAUGGAGCUGUGUGGUGAGUGCAUUUUGAUCAGCAACAAGUUUAGUGUAAGUUGCAUAUUGUGCAGCAUUCAAUGGAGAUGCCUUGUUCAGAAGAAACCAUGGCUUUGGUAAGUCAUUUGAGAUUUGUUUCUUCCAGUACCUAAUCAGAUAACCUUUGGGUGUAAAUGGGUUACCAGAUUCACCAUCUCCACCUACAACAACAUUGAAAGAUGGUAGUGAGAACAGAAGAAGAAGUAAGAUGCAGGGAGGAAGAUGAAUUUUAGUGUGCAUUUCUUUGGUGUGAAACAGAGAUGAAGAGAGAGAAGGUGAAGAGUAGAAUGUUGGUUAGAAUUUGUUUCUUUUCUGACUAGAUCAUCAUCCACAAUCUCAUAGACAAUCUGGUUAUGUAUCGAUCUCACAUCAAAUGUAGCUUCUUUCAGGACAGAUGCAGUCAUUAACCAUGUCAGGUCAGAGGAGAAUUUUCCUAUGAAUAGUUUAAAAGUCUGCAACGAAUUGCAAUCCUCAGAAGAACUCCAACGGUAGCGUUUGUUUUCACAAGGUUUAGGUUCAAGUUUUUGGAGAACUGCAAUCUGAUCAAUGGGCAACAUCUUUAUCUCUUUACUUAGGGUUUUCUUCAAAAUGGGAGGAGGGCCUUGAGUGACAUAAACGCUGACAUGAAAUUUGCAAGUACAAGUGAGCUCAUGAGGCUUCCUCUCUAUAGAUCUUAUUUUUCCAUCAAUCCACACAGGCUUGACAUCUUUCUCAUCCCCUGAAUUUUCUCCUUGGUAAGGGAUUGAAAGCACACAAACCUCAAGUCCAGGUCGUAAGAAGCAGGCACAAUCAGAUAAAGUAGCUUUUCUAGACCUCAUUCGAAGAUUUGUUACCGGAAUAUUCUCCUCAAUCACCUCCCCAUCAACUAGAACAUGAGUAGUUAUGGUCCCCAUAUUGAUCCUUAGGCGCUCCACAGCUUGCCAAGAUCCGUACCAGAAUGCCUCAAAAGGGUGUGGAUCAAUUGGAUGAGCAUUGUAAUGUAUAUGCCUCUUCAUCACCACCUAAAGCUUCAAGACCAACCUUGUCAGUAAUCAGAAGAAAGAAUCAGUUUAGUUGUGCCCAAUAGCUGCAACGGAUACUGAGCCAGAUAUGAAGUCAGCACUACAGCAGCUUGCUAUGUACAAUAUUUCCAUCUAUUGCUGCAAAAAUUUUCCAGUUUAACCCAAUGUUUCAAUUCCUGCAAGUAGAAUAAUUGAAUUGAGCUGUCGGAAAAUGGAAAUUUGAUAGUCCGGCGGAAUUCGGCAAGUGGAGUGAGUGGAGAGCGAAUAAGGGAAAGGUCCAGAGGGUAAAAUUGACUGAGGAGAGGAGAAAAGCGA
rnacentral:misc_RNA from 1 species